rnacentral:rRNA from 1 species
AGAGUUUGAUCAUGGCUCAGGAUGAACGCUAGCGACAGGCUUAACACAUGCAAGUCGAGGGGCAGCAUGGUUUGUAGCAAUACAGAUUGAUGGCGACCGGCGCACGGGUGAGUAACGCGUAUGCAACUUACCUAUCAGAGGGGGAUAGCCCGGCGAAAGUCGGAUUAAUACCCCAUAAAACAGGGGUCCCGCAUGGGAAUAUUUGUUAAAGAUUCAUCGCUGAUAGAUAGGCAUGCGUUCCAUUAGGCAGUUGGCGGGGUAACGGCCCACCAAACCGACGAUGGAUAGGGGUUCUGGAGAGGAACGGUCCCCCACAUUGGUACUGAGACACGGACCAAACUCCUACGGGAGGCA